AAGCCUGAUGCAGCUAUCCCGCGUGUAUGAAGAAGGCCUUCGGGUUGUAAGGUACUUUCAACAGGAAAGAAAUAAUAAAAUUUAAUACAUUUUGUUACUGACGUUACUUGUAAAAGAAGCACCGGCUAACUCCGUGCCAGCAGCCGCGGUAAUACGGAGGGUGCUAGCGUUAAUCGGAAUUACUGGGCGUAAAGAGCACGUAGGCGGUUAAUUAAGUCAGAUGUGAAAUCCCUAAGCUUAACUUAGGAACUGCAUUUGAAACUAAUUAACUUGAGUUUCGUAGAGGGGGGUAGAAUUCUAGGUGUAGCGGUGAAAUGCGUAGAUAUCUGGAGGAAUACCAGUGGCGAAGGCGGCUCCCUGGACGAAUACUGACGCUCAGGUGCGAAAGCAUGGGGAGCAAACAGGAUUAGAUACCCUGGUAGUCCAUGCUGUAAACGAUGUCGACUUGAAGGUUGUAAGCUUGACUUAUAGCUUUCGUAGCUAACGCGUUAAGUCGACCGCCUGGGAAGUACGACCGCAAGGUUAAAACUCAAAUGAAUUGACGGGGGCCCGCACAAGCGGUGGAGCAUGUGGUUUAAUUCGAUGCAACGCGAAAAACCUUACCUGGUCUUGACAUCCAUGGAAUUUAAUAGAGAUAUUUUAGUGCCUUCGGGAACCAUGAGACAGGUGCUGCAUGGCUGUCGUCAGCUCGUGUUGUGAAAUGUUGGGUUAAGUCCCGCAACGAGCGCAACCCUUAUUCUUUGUUGCCAUCAGUUAGGCUGGGAACUCAAAGAAGACUGCCGGUGAUAAACCGGAGGAAGGUGAGGACGACGUCAAGUCAUCAUGGCCCUUACGACCAGGGCUACACACGUGCUACAAUGGUAUAUACAAAGAGAAGCAUCCUUGUAAAAGUAAGCGGAUCUCACAAAUUAUAUCUUAGUUCGGAUUAGAGUCUGCAACUCGACUCUAUGAAGUCGGAAUCGCUAGUAAUCGUAGAUCAGAAUGCUACGGUGAAUACGUUCC
rnacentral:rRNA from 1 species